AACGAACGCUGGCGGCAUGCCUAACACAUGCCAGUCGAACGAGACCUUCGGGUCUAGUGGCGCACGGGUGCGUAACGCGUGGGAACCUGCCCUUAGGUUCGGAAUAACUCCCCGAAAGGGGUGCUAAUACCGGAUAAUGUCUUCGGACCAAAGAUUUAUCGCCUUUGGACGGGCCCGCGUUGGAUUAGCUAGUUGGUAGGGUAAAAGCCUACCAAGGCGACGAUCCAUAGCUGGUCUGAGAGGAUGAUCAGCCACACUGGGACUGAGACACGGCCCAGACUCCUACGGGAGGCAGCAGUGGGGAAUAUUGGACAAUGGGCGAAAGCCUGAUCCAGCAAUGCCGCGUGAGUGAUGAAGGCCUUAGGGUUGUAAAGCUCUUUUACCCGGGAUGAUAAUGACAGUACCGGGAGAAUAAGCUCCGGCUAACUCCGUG
rnacentral:rRNA from 1 species